rnacentral:rRNA from 1 species
GCCAACCAGCUAGCUUAAUUACUUAUAUAAUUUAACAAUGUUCUUAACAAAACAUAACCCAACAAUACAAACUAAACCAUUUUUUUACCUGAGUAUGGGAGACAGAAAAGGUUCAACACAAAGCAAUAGAAAAAGUACCGCAAGGGAAAGCUGAAAAAGAGAUGAAACAGCCCAUAUAAGCGCCGAAAAACAAAGACUAGACCUUGUACCUUUUGCAUCAUGAUUUAGCCAGCACCCUCAAGCGAAGAGCCCUUUAGUUUGAAACCCCGAAACCAGGUGAGCUACCCCGAGACAGCCUAUGUUAAUUUAGGGCUAACCCGUCUCUGUGGCAAAAGAGUGGGAAGAGCUCCGGGUAGAAGUGAAAAGCCUACCGAACCUGGUGAUAGCUGGUUACCUAGGAAGUGGAUAGAAGUUCAGCCUCACACACCCCAAAUCAAAGAAAAUAUUAUUAAGAUAUUAGGGAAAUAUGUGAGAGUUAGUUGAAGGGGGUACAGCCCCUUUAAUAAAGGAUACAACCUUAACAGGAGGAUAAAGAUCAUAAUAUAUAAGAUAUGCUGUUCUAGUGGGCUUGAAAGCAGCCACCUAAGCAGAAAGCGUUAAAGCUCGGACAGAAAGAAAUUUAUUAUACUGAUAAAAAAUCUUAAUCCCCUAAUUAUACUAGGCCAACCCAUGCCUACAUGGAAGAGAUUAUGCUAGAAUGAGUAACAGGAGGAUAUGAUCCUCUCCCGGCACAAGUGUAAACCAGAUUGGACAAACCACUGGAAAUUAACGAGCCCAACCCAAGAGGGCAGUGUGAAUAACAGAAAAUUCAAGAAGACCUCACACUAAUAUAUCGUUAACCCCACACUGGCGUGCCAUAUUUAAAGGAAAGACUAAAAGAGGGGAAAGGAACUCGGCAAACACAAGCCUCGCCUGUUUACCAAAAACAUCGCCUCCUGCAACUAGAUUGAGUAUAGGAGGUCCAGCCUGCCCAGUGACUAUGGGUUCAACGGCCGCGGUAUUUUGACCGUGCAAAGGUAGCGCAAUCACUUGUCUCUUAAAUAGAGACCUGUAUGAAUGGCUAGACGAGGGCUUAACUGUCUCCCCCCUCCGGUCAGUGAAAUUGAUCUAUCCGUGCAGAAGCGGGUAUAAAUACACAAGACGAGAAGACCCUUUGGAGCUUAAGGUACAAACUUAACCACGUUAAGCGACUUCACAAAGAGCAAGAACUUAGUGGCGAUAAGACUUUACCUUCGGUUGGGGCGACCAUGGAGGAGAAGCAAGCCUCCAAGUGGGCCGGGCCAAACCCCUAUCCCUAAAGCCAAGAGACACAUCUCUAGGCCGCAGAACAUCUGACCAAAAAUGAUCCGACUAUAAAGUCGACCAACGGACCAAGUUACCCAAGGGAUAACAGCGCAAUCCCCUCCCAGAGUCCAUAUCUACGAGGGGGUUUACGACCUCGAUGUUGGAUCAGGACAUCCUAAUGGUGCAGCCGCUAUUAAGGGUUCGUUUGUUCAACGAUUAAAGUCCUACGUGAUCUGAGUUCAGACCGGAGCAAUCCAGGUCAGUUUCUAUCUGUGACGCUACUUUUCCUAGUACGAAAGGAUCGGAAAAGGGGGGCCUAUGCUUUAAGCACGCCCCACCCCUAAUUAAUGAAAACAAAUAAAUUAAAUAAAGGGAGGGCUAAAGCCCUAUCACCCAAAAUAAGGGUU